rnacentral:rRNA from 1 species
UACGGAGGGUGCAAGCGUUGUUCGGAAUUACUGGGCGUAAAGCGCGUGUAGGCGGUUGGGCAAGUCAGAUGUGAAAGCCUUCCGCUUAACGGAAGAAGUGCAUUUGAAACUACCCUGCUGGAGUACGGGAGAGGAGAGUGGAAUUCCCGGUGUAGAGGUGAAAUUCGUAGAUAUCGGGAGGAACACCAGUGGCGAAGGCUGCUCUCCGGUCCGAUACUGACGCUGAGACGCGAAAGCGUGGGGAGCAAACAGG